rnacentral:rRNA from 1 species
CAGAUGUGAAAGACCCGGGGCGUCAACCUCGGAAUAGCAUUUGAAACUAGGCAGACUAGAGUACUGUAGAGGGGGGUAGGAAGUUUCAGGUGUAGCGGUGAAAUGCGUAGAGAUCUGAAGGAAUACCGGUGGCGAAGGCGGCCCCCUCGGACAGAUACUGACACUCAGAUGCGAAAGCGUGGGGAGCAAACAGGAUUAGAUACCCUGGUAG